AAAACGUAAUUUCUCAGAUACUGAGAUUGAAACACUUGUAGGGGAGGUGGAGGCUCGGAAAACUGUGUUAUUUGGUGGCCACAGCAGUGGGGUCACUAAUAAAAAGAAGCAGUGCGAGUGGCAAAGUAUUGCUUCUGCCGUCAAUUGUGUCAGUGGGACAGAACGGACAGUUGCAGAAUUAAAGAAAAAAUGGUCCGACCUGAAGGUGGAGGCAAAGAGAAAACUGUCCUCCCACCGCCAGAGCGUGGCUGCAACUGGUGGGGGCCCAUGUACAGCUGAUCUCACAUCAGUGGACAGCAAAAUCGCGGCUAUAAUUGGGGAGGUCAGCGUGUGUGGUAUUGUGUCGGAAAAGGAGGGAGACACUGACGUGACUGAAACCACAGAGGAGCAAGUCCUUCCGGAGUCUGAAGCUGUAAAUGAACAGGAGGUUCAGGGUGAGGGGUUCUCAGAUGCAGAUGCACAGCGUCCGGCUCAAAGCAGUGCCCCUUCUGCGUCUGGCACGUCCAAAAGUGGUCGGGUACUCACUGACGCAGUCCUGCAGUUACAGCGAGAGACAAUAAACGCUGUCAACGGGGUUGCAGAGAUGAGCUACGGCAGAUGAGAGAAGUGAUGCAAGAAAUUGCACAAUCAUUAAAAGAUGCAGUUAAAACAUGAA